UACGAAGGGGCUAGCGUUGCUCGGAAUCACUGGGCGUAAAGGGUGCGUAGGCGGGUCUUUAAGUCAGGGUGAAAUCCUGGAGCUCAACUCCAGAACUGCCUUUGAUACUGAAGAUCUUGAGUUCGGGAGAGGUGAGUGGAACUGCGAGUGUAGAGGUGAAAUUCGUAGAUAUUCGCAAGAACACCAGUGGCGAAGGCGGCUCACUGGCCCGAUACUGACGCUGAGGCACGAAAGCGUGGGGAGCAAACAGGGA
rnacentral:rRNA from 1 species